rnacentral:lncRNA from 10 species
AAGCAUUUGGCAAGCACAUCCUGGGUGCCAGGCCCAAGCAGGCUGGUCUCAAACUCCUGACCUCAAGUGAUCCGCCCACCUCGGCCUCCCAAAGUGCCGGGAUGACAGCUGUGAGCCACCGCGCCCCGCCCAGAAGCAGAGGUGUUUUAACGGGAAGACUUCAGGCUUCAUCGGACGGCCGGGAAGGAAUCAGAGCAGGGGUUUCUUCCGAGAUGGCCAGUGGUCACCUGAGAUGGAGCAGAGAGCACCUGUGGCGGGCAUCUUCUCUAGAAGCCGCCUGUGAGCCCUACGGAGGCCCUGGGCUUCGUGCCGUAAGACAGACGGUGUCCUGCAGGCCUCCCAUGGAGACACCAUGUGUGAUUGUAAAAAA